UACAAGAGCAUAAGAAGAUACUCGUUUGCGAAUUUGCACCCCACAAAAGCCUCGACUACUUUCUCUUUGAUUCUCAAGAUCAACUCUUGUCAAAUUGGUCCAGGCGCUUUAAAAUCAUUGAAGGGGUUGCUUGAGCAAUUCUUUAUCUUCAUGAGCAUUCGCGUCUUAAAAUUAAAUAUCAUGAUCUUAAACCUAGCAAUAUCUUAUUAGAUCAAAACAUCAAUCCAAAGCUUUCCCAUCGUGGAAUGGCAAAAAUGGUGGCAAUAGAUCAACACCAAGAAAGAACAAGGAGAAUGGUUGGGACACACGGCCAUAUGCCUCCUCAAUAUGUAAAUUUUGGAAGAUAUUCAGAAAAAUCAGAUAUCUUUAGUUUUGGAGUUAUAAUGUUGGAGAUUAUAAGUGGGCGGAAAAACUCUUGUUCUUAUGAAUUACCCAGCAUUAAUGGCCUCCUAACUUACGCUUGGAACCAGUGGAGGGGAGGUGAGACGCCAUUAGAAAUAAUCGAUCCGAAGUUGAAAGAAAGUUGUUGUGAAGCAGAAGUGAUGAAGUGCAUCCAGAUUGGAUUAUUGUGUGU